rnacentral:lncRNA from 1 species
UUGUAGAGAGAGAGAGAGAGAGAGAGAGAGAGAGAGAGAGAGAGAGAGUUGUUGUUAGGUUUGGGUAGAAUGAGGUGGUGACUAAGUAAAAGUCUUAUUUGUCUUUAAAAUUUGAUAUGAAAAUUUCAAUUUACCCUUAAUUUUGGCAAAAAUUUAAUAGAAUUAACAAAAGGACGAGUAGUGCAACGCGAUAUCUAACGAAG